CCUGCCCGCCGGCCGCGGCCCCGGCAGAGCGCGGACAGGGGGCUCGGCACCCGCCUCUUCGGGGAGGCGAACGGAGCCGGGAGAGUGAGCCGAGAAAGGGAAGAAGUCCGAAGGAGGAAACAGAAGGAGUUCUGUAUCCAAUAUUUUCCAUGCGCCCCAGAUGCCACCUCUGGUAGACAAAACAAGUCUAUCAGUCGGUGCCUUAACAAAGAAGUAAUCUUCAAAUACUUUUGGAACAUGUACUCAACACCAUACCAGGCAGAAAAUACACAGCCUGAUUUUCAUUGACACAAAAGGCAAUUUAUAAAGCUCAGGAAGCCUUGCAAGGAUUAAAGCAGAUGUCUGCACCCACUUAGAGCUUUCUUUCUGCACCAGUGUUGUGUAACUGAAUAGUUGUUCAGGACUUGCUGCUGCUGAACUGGGUAGUAGUGACAAUGAGGAGGGAGGACCAUAAACAUGUUCCCCAUAAGACCUUUGGGACUUACCUGUGGAAAUCCUGAGGAGGAAGAGACCUCAAGUCAGUUUAAAAGAAGACAGCAGCAAAAAUCUAUCAAGCAAGAGACAGUGAGCAAUAGAGUAAAUAUGACUCUUUGAGAAAGCAAUAUUUAUUGUAUCCUGGGGUAGAUAAGGUACAUAGAAGGAUGUCUUCUCAAUCUCUUGGAUUACAUGCAAAAUUUAACUAUGACUGACUGAGCUUUUACACAUCCCUGGGAGUGCGAGGUCUUGGGGCCUCUGAACUACUAUAAGCAGCAGGUCAGGAGAUCCAGGUUCUGGGGCCAAAAUUCACUCCAGCACUUAGGUAUUUCCUUUCCACCCAUAGCACUACUUUAAAAACAUAAGGAACACUGAAAAUAGCAGAAUCUCUGCUGGAGUUAGGCCUCUGUUGCACUUGCACAUUUAAGACUAUUCUACAGUAUGACUUUUCCUCCCUCUUUUCUUCUUUGUCCUCCGACUUUUCAUUUUCUUCUCCAUUUAUUGCCUGUCCCUCUUCAUUCUCAUUCCACAUACACAGACCCUGUUCUUAAUGCUAUUAAUCAGUUAUUGUCACAACUCCCUUCCUUCC